rnacentral:rRNA from 1 species
UACAGAGGGGGCAAGCGUUAUUCGGAAUUAUUGGGCGUAAAGGGCGCGUAGGCGGCUUGGCAAGUGGAAGGUGAAAUCCCUCGGCUUAACCGAGGAACUGCCCUCCAAACUGCUUUGCUUGAGUCCGGGAGAGGUGAGUGGAACUGCGAGUGUAGAGGUGAAAUUCGUAGAUAUUCGCAAGAACACCAGUGGCGAAGGCGGCUCACUGGCCCGGUACUGACGCUGAGGUGCGAAAGCGUGGGGAGCAAACAGG